rnacentral:rRNA from 1 species
UACGAAGGGGGCGAGCGUUGUUCGGAAUCACUGGGCGUAAAGGGCGCGUAGGCGGCCCUCUUAGUCGCGUGUGAAAGCCCCGGGCUCAACCUGGGAACGGCGCGCGAAACGGGAGGGCUGGAGUUCGGGAGAGGAGAGUGGAAUUCCUGGUGUAGCGGUGAAAUGCGUAGAUAUCAGGAGGAACACCUGUGGCGAAAGCGGCUCACUGGACCAUAACUGACGCUGAUGCACGAAAGCUAGGGGAGCAAACAGG